rnacentral:rRNA from 1 species
UUGGAGGGCAAGUCUGGUGCCAGCAGCCGCGGUAAUUCCAGCUCCAAUAGCGUAUAUUAAAGUUGUUGCAGUUAAAAAGCUCGUAGUUGAAUUUCGGGAUCAAUACGUCGGUCGUGCCUUCGGUACGCACUGGCGUCGUUGAUUUCUCCCUUCUGAUGAACCAUGAUGUCAUUAAUUUGGUGUUGUGGGGAGUCAGGACUGUUACUUUGAAAAAAUUAGAGUGUUUAAAGCAGGCAAACGCUUGAAUACAUUAGCAUGGAAUAAUGAAGUAGGACGUUCGAACCUAUUUUGUUGGUUUCUAGGUACAACGUAAUGAUUAAUAGGGAUAGUUGGGGGCAUUAGUAUUCAAUUGUCAGAGGUGAAAUUCUUGGAUUUAUUGAAGACUAACUACUGCGAAAGCAUUUGCCAAGGAUGUUUUCAUUAAUCAAGAACGAAAGUUAGGGGAUCGAAGACGAUCAGAUACCGUCGUAGUCUUAACCAUAAACUAUGCCGACUAGGGAUCGGAUGAAGUUAAUUUUUUAAUGACUCAUUCGGCGCCUUACGGGAAAC